UCGCUGAUGAUUGUUUUUAAGACGACAGGCGCGUCUGUCGCAAAUAUAAUUGCUUUAAUCUAUGUUGAUUUUAUUGAAAGCAAACCAGAAAUUCACCUUUGUUUAUAUUUUCAUCUUCAAUUUCAACAAAAGGAAUACAAUCUUAAACAUUUAUUUGUCGAAAUAAGAGAUGUUAAUUGAAUUGUAUCAUCUGUGUUAUAGUGUUAAAAUACUCAGCCUAUGACCAUGAUAACUAUUUGCAAACAACAGUUUUCACGAAUGAACAACAACGAUCUUAUAUAUGUUAAUGAAACAUUAUUAUUCCUUUGUCAAUCUUUUAAAGAAUCCAAGCUCAAAGUUGCGAGUAUCAUUCAAUGACCAUAGUCUACAUACAGACCUAUAGUUGUUAAUGUCUGUGUCAUUUUGGUCUCUUGUGUACAGUUGUCUCAUUGGCAAUCAUACCACAUCUUCUUUUUUAUAUCAUGAAAUAUUAUAAUACAAUAUCAUGUCUUGUGUCUGUUCUUUCAUUAUUGAAUAAAGGCAAAAGU
rnacentral:lncRNA from 1 species